CGGGUUGUUAAAGCACUUUCAGUCGUGAGGAAGGUAGUGUAGUUAAUAGCUGCAUUAUUUGACGUUUAGCGACAGAAGAAGCACCGGCUAACUCCGUGCCAGCAGCCGCGGUAAUACGGAGGGUGCGAGCGUUAAUCGGAAUUACUGGGCGUAAAGCGCAUGCAGGUGGUUUGUUAAGUUCAGAUGUGAAAGACCCGGGGCGUCAACCUCGGAAUAGCAUUUGAAACUGGCAGACUAGAGUACUGUAGAGGGGGGUAGGAAUUUCAGGUGUAGCGGUGAAAUGCGUAGAGAUCUGAAGGAAUACCGGUGGCGAAGGCGGCCCCCUGGACAGAUACUGACACUCAGAUGCGAAAGCGUGGGGAGCAAACAGGAUUAGAUACCCUGGUAG
rnacentral:rRNA from 1 species